rnacentral:tRNA from 1 species
CGGAUGUAGCCAAGUGGAUCAAGGCAGUGGAUUGUGAACCCACCAUGCGCG